rnacentral:tRNA from 1 species
ACUUUUAAGGGAAAAUAGUU